rnacentral:rRNA from 1 species
GACGAACGCUGGCGGCGUGCCUAAUACAUGCAAGUCGAACGCUGAAGGAGGAGCUUGCUUCUCCGGAUGAGUUGCGAACGGGUGAGUAACGCGUAGGUAACCUGCCUGGUAGCGGGGGAUAACUAUUGGAAACGAUAGCUAAUACCGCAUAACAGUAGAUGUUGCAUGACAUUUGCUUAAAAGGUGCACUUGCAUCACUACCAGAUGGACCUGCGUUGUAUUAGCUAGUUGGUGAGGUAACGGCUCACCAAGGCGACGAUACAUAGCCGACCUGAGAGGGUGAUAGGCAACACUGGGACGGAGACACGGCCCAGACUCCUACGGGAGGCAGCAGGAGGGAAUCUUAGGCAAUGGACGGAAGGCUGAACGAGCAACGCCGCGUGAGUGAAGAAGGGUGUCGGAUCGUAAAGCUCGGUUGUAAGAGAAGAACGAGUGUGAGAGUGGAAAGUGCACACUGUGACGGUAUCUUAACAGAAAGGGACGGCUAACUACGUG